rnacentral:rRNA from 1 species
CAAUAGCGUAUAUUUAAGUUGCUGCAGUUAAAAAGCCCGUAGUUGGAUUUCGGGUGGGAAUGGCCGGUCCGCCGUUUCGGUGUGCACUUGCUACGCCCACCUUGCUGCCGGGGACGUGCUCUUGAGUUCACGCUCGGGACACGGAGUCGGCGAGGUUACUUUGAGUAAAUUAGAGUGUUCAAAGCAGGCCUACGCUCUGAAUACAUUAGCAUGGAAUAACACGAUAGGACUCUGGCCUAUCUUGUUGGUCUGUAGGACCGGAGUAAUGAUUAAGAGGGACAGUCGGGGGCAUUCGUAUUUCAUUGUCAGAGGUGAAAUUCUUGGAUUUAUGUAAGACGAACUACUGCGAAAGCAUUUGCCAAGGAUGUUUUCAUUAA